GACGAACGCUGGCGGCGUGCCUAAUACAUGCAAGUCGAGCGGACUUGACAGGAAAGCUUGCUUUCCUGUCGGUCAGCGGCGGACGGGUGAGUAACACGUGGGCAACCUGCCUGUAAGACCGGGAUAACUCGCGGAAACGCGGGCUAAUACCGGAUAGUUCCUCUUGCCGCAUGGCAAGAGGAGGAAAGAGGGCGCAAGCUCUCACUUACAGAUGGGCCCGCGGCGCAUUAGCUAGUUGGUAGGGUAACAGCCUACCAAGGCGACGAUGCGUAGCCGACCUGAGAGGGUGAUCGGCCACAUUGGGACUGAGACACGGCCCAAACUCCUACGGGAGGCAGCAGUAGGGAAUCUUCCGCAAUGGACGAAAGUCUGACGGAGCAACGCCGCGUGAGCGAAGAAGGUCUUCGGAUCGUAAAGCUCUGUUGUCAGGGAAGAACAAGUACCGUUCGAUAAGGGCGGUACC
rnacentral:rRNA from 1 species